GGCCAGACUCCUAAGGGAGGCAGCAGUGAGGAAUAUUGGUCAAUGGCCGAGAGGCUGAACCAGCCAAGUCGCGUGAGGGAUGACGGCCCUACGGGUUGUAAACCUCUUUUGCCGGGGAGCAAAGAGCGGGACGCGUCCCGCCCCGAGAGUACCCGGAGAAAAAGCAUCGGCUAACUCCGUGCCAGCAGCCGCGGUAAUACGGAGGAUGCGAGCGUUAUCCGGAAUUACUGGGUGUAAAGGGAGCGUAGACGGUGAAGUAAGUCUGGAGUGAAAGGCGGGGGCCCAACCCCCGGACUGCUCUGGAAACUGUGUAGCUUGAGUGCAGGAGGGGUAAGCGGAAUUCCUAGUGUAGCGGUGAAAUGCGUAGAUAUUAGGAGGAACACCGGUGGCGAGGGCGGCUUACUGGACUGCAACUGACGUUGAGGCUCGAAGGCGUGGGGAGCAAACAGGAUUAGAUACCCCUGUA
rnacentral:rRNA from 1 species